GACGAACGCUGGCGGCGUGCCUAAUACAUGCAAGUAGAACGCUGAAGGAGGAGCUUGCUUCUCCGGAUGAGUUGCGAACGGGUGAGUAACGCGUAGGUAACCUGCCUGGUAGCGGGGGAUAACUAUUGGAAACGAUAGCUAAUACCGCAUAAGAGUAGAUGUCGCAUGACAUUUGCUUAAAAGGUGCAACUGCACCACUACCAGAUGGACCUGCGUUGUAUUAGCUAGUUGGUGAGGUAACGGCUCACCAAGGCAACGAUACGUAGCCGACCUGAGAGGGGGAUCGGCCACACUGGGACUGAGACACGGCCCAGACUCCUACGGGAGGCAGCAGUAGGGAAUCUUCGGCAAUGGACGGAAGUCUGACCGAGCAACGCCGCGUGAGUGAAGAAGGUUUUCGGAUCGUAAAGCUCUGUUGUAAGAGAAGAACGAGUGUGAGAGUGGAAAGUUCACACUGUGACGGUAUCUUACCAGAAAGGGACGGCUAACUACGUG
rnacentral:rRNA from 1 species